UCCGCACGCAUGAUUUUGGAGGAGCGAUCCCCCGUGCGUCCCAGCGCUGGAAAUAAACAUACCUACUUUACUACUUCUUUAGUAGUGGAGUUCUGUCCGCUCAUCAGAAUUUUUGGCUGAUAAGGGACAGAAAAGUCUAAAAUAUUGAAAAUUUCCCUAAGAUGGGAAAACCAUUUCUGCAGGAUGCUGGUCCUACUCUGGAGCACACAGAUGUUCCUCAUCCAGAGGGGUUCAGUGCAGCAAUACGGGAAACCACUCAGGUUGUUCCCAUCACUGCCAAGGAACACAUGUGCUGGUUUUCAGCCUAACCUUCCAUAAAAUAAUGGGAUAAACAACAAGCUGGUAGUUUUGUCUGUCACACGAAGAACCAAAGCUUGCUACUCCCUCUUUAUCUCCUGGUAGCUAUAGGUCCUCUUUUGGUCUUCAGUGGGGCUGUGAAUUCCCUUGGGCAGGGUGUUUCUCAUUGCCCCAUGCUGGUGCAGAUGCUGGUCCAGCAAGGUGCUGGCCUAGAGCUUGGCAGUGCUGUACUGAAGUAUGUGAAGUGCUCCAUGGCUUGGCUGUCUUGAAUAACUGUGUCACUAAGAAAUAUAUUCAAUUUUAUAUUAUUUAACACCUCUGCUUUCUGUGCCUCCAUAGAUGGUUGUUUAUUACCCACAGCCAGAGAUGGUUUUGGCCCUCAGCACAAUAAAUCAAGCUCUUUUUAGGACAGCCUCAAGAAUUUCUGGAGUGGUUUCAGCUCCCCCAGAACCACAGUGUGACUCAACAUAGUGAACAGAAAACCAGACUUUCCCAGUGUUCUGUGGACAGGUAAUGGAGCUGGAGAGAGCAGCUGGUGUGUUUGUGGAAGAGGAUGCAAGUUUUGAGGGAAGAACUGGAAACCCAGAUCUGGAGAGUACCAAUACAGGCACAGGCCUGAUAAAUCUGGGCUCACAAGUGAGGCUGCACAUGAACUCCUGAGCCCACAGCCCCAGCAAGCCAUGGGACAAUGAGAAGCUGGUCAGGAAGACAAAAGUUUUAGUAGUGAAGCUUGGAAUACUGAAAUCCCAUCUGUGAACCCUAAAUCAGUGCCAUCUCAGGCAUGGGUCCUGCCCGCAGAGCUACAACUUCCAGGUCCUGCUCUGCCCAGCAGGUACCUCUGUGCAACAGAACAGCUUCAUUUUCCUCCAAGGAAAAUUUCUUAUGGUCAUGGAAGUCCCUUCAUACCACUGCGUUCCAUUUGCAGUUAUUCUGUGGAGGAAUUGAGUCUAAACCAGAGACCAAGGGCUGAUAAAAUCUCAGUUAAAAACAGUUUGACCUGCUGGUUGUAGUCCAAGAGAGUCUGGGUUCUUCCUGCACCACAUCAGAGAGGCAGUGCCCAGGAGAGCAGCUACAGAUUAUUAAAUAGAGGUGUGAUGACCAGGAACUGGAGAAGAUGUUUUCUUCUUCUGACUGGCUUCAUGUUAAUUGUAUAUAUAAAGUUAUAACUUCCGGACUCCACAGUGUCUUUAGAAAUCAGACUGAUUUUUGUGAGCAUUUUUAGAAUGCAGCUGUUUCAGUGUGUAUUUUGUCCAACAUAGAAGAUGUAUGCAACAUAAUUCCUCCACUGUAAUGUUAUCAUCUUUCCUAUUUCUCUUUCCCUUUCAAUGUAAGUGUUCUGCAAAAUCAUGUUAAUAAAAGAUAUGUAUUUGUUUCUCUUUCAACACUUA